UUACGGUCAAAUCACGCUGAAAACACCGGUUCUCGUUCGAUCACCGAAGUUAAGCAUCGUAGAGCCAGGUCAGUCAGUACUUAGAUGGGGGACCGCUUGGGAACACCUGGUACUGUAAG